GCCCUUAUAGUUGAACAACAACAAAAGCUUUUCGAGCUUUAGGUUUGAGUUAAAAUCUCAAUAAGAGCU